rnacentral:misc_RNA from 1 species
GAUGAAGAACGUAGCGAAAUGCGAUAAGUAAUGUGAAUUGCAGAAUUCAGUGAAUCAUCGAAUCUUUGAACGCACAUUGCGCCCCCUGGUAUUCCGGGGGGCAUGCCUGUUCGAGCGUCAUUACAACCCUCAAGCUCUGCUUGGUAUUGGGCCCCGCCAGUUCUGGCGGGCCCUAAAGUCAGUGGCGGUGCCUUCCGGCUCCGAGCGUAGUAAUUCCUCUCGCUCUGGAGACCCGGUUGUGUGCUUGCCAACAACCCCCAAUUUUUUAAGGUUGACCUCGGAUCAGGUAGGGAUACCCGCUGAACUUAAGCAUAUCAAUAAGCGGAGGA